UAGCAGUUGGCUACGAGCUACCGCUAAUUGGAGAGACAAAUAAAACCUUUAUUUUCUCCCAAAACGCCAAUCCUGAGCCUCACUACAAGAGUGGUGUGACCCUUUGGAAGGCUCAAAACUUUAACCAGACGCGUUUUGGUUUUUCCCCCCUUUGGGAAAAGCCACAGAGUUUCUCCCGAAACUCAGACAACUUGAUUAAAGAGCGACGACAACGACGAGAAGGACAACAGGCUUCUCAGUAAAAACCGAGUGGCGAGCAAACACAAGAGCUGGAUUUUCCCUCCUGAGCAACAAGCCACCGCCACAACCAAGGUUGCGAUGCUCUUCUGAAAUAUUCUCCUUCCACCUCUGUACAUCCCGGCCCAUCUUUUACACCCACCUGAUCCACAUCAGCACCAAGCCCAAGCCCGCCAAGUCCAGUACCUUCCCACACACAAACUGCCAGUGGAGGAAGAAGUACAGUAACAAAUGGCGGGACACCCUGUCCCAACACAAGGAACACCAGAGAACAUCCGAUAUCCAACUGAUAACACAACUAAGAGAGCCCCUUUGACGUUAAGGUGGCAAAAUCCACAAUCCUCGUUACCCUGACAACAGUAACUCCCGAAUCCACCUGUCCAAUACACAAACAGAAUUAUAAUCCUAAACAACGACCAAACACACCCUUCUUCUGCCCACAGCCCGUCCUGCGAGAGCCUUUCAAAAAAGACUGAAUGUUUAACUAAUGAUUGUCAUUUUUUUUAUCGGUAACCUUUUGUUGACUUGUGAUAUGGUGACCUUGGUGUCUCUUCGCAUGAGUCUGUUUCUGUUUUGCCUUGC